GCCCCGGCACAAGCAUAAAUAGAGCUGUGGCCAUGUGGCAGGGAGUCCUCCUCUGAGGACAGCUGCAGCCUUUGCACAACUGGGGGGUUAGGAUGGAACUGAGCAGGGGGAGGUGGGGGUGAGAUCUUGAACGAUGGAGGAGGAGAAACUGAGGGGUCUCCACAGCAGGUAUUGUGUUCUCUGUAUAGCAGACUACACUCAUGGGGUUGGCAAACUUACAUCGACCAGGUACCCCACAUCAGAGAGACAGACCCUUCAACGAGCCUGAGCCAAAGCACCAUAUCCUUUGCUAGAGAUGUCCAAAGGGGGUCCCAGUGUAGUACCUGUAGCACUGUAUUCAUGGUAUUUCUGCAAACUAUUGCAGCCUCUGACCUUCCCAGCUUUGAGCACUAGAGAUACACAUGGAGUUGUUCCUGGAGCAGAGUACUUUGGGGCUCUUAUAUUAUUCUACAUAUUUAGUCUUCCAUGUGCAUUAAAGUCCAUCACAGCAUUGAAGCCUUCGGACAGCUGAUUUGAAUGAUUUUUUUUGGGGGGGGGGAGGGAGGGGGUAAAGGGGCAUGCAAUAGAGUAUAUAGUAAAACAUCCGUUAUACUGGAGACUGUUAACAGCAAACAAUAAUUAAAGAUGGGAAGAACAGGGAGUAAGAAAGACACAGAAGAAAGCAAAACAGAGAGCCAGUCUCCAUGCACACAAACCGCUAAAAGGCACUUACCAAACUGAACUGAAUUGAUUUAACUGGACGGGUGUUCGUACCUUUAACAGAUAAGGGCAUGCAGGCAGUUGGCCGUGUCCGUAUCAGUGUGUCCGUAUGAGUAUUAAAAAGUAAAAUGAGAUCUGCCAUGGGAAGGCACUGAACCAUUGCAAUAUCGCAGCUCGGGAGCUAGCUAGCGCUGGGGAACUCACAGCAUCCGAGCGCCUUCUUCCCAGGGACAGCUCUCAGCUCUCCAGCGCAGCGAGCCAGGACUUGCCUUGCUUUCCCCAAGCUAAAGGCAUGAAACACUAAAUCAGUAUUAGGAACUC